rnacentral:rRNA from 1 species
CCUACGGGAGGCUGCAGUGGGGAAUAUUGGGCAAUGGGCGAAAGCCUGACCCAGCAACGCCGCGUGAAGGAAGAAGGCUUUCGGGUUGUAAACUUCUUUUGACAGGGAAGAGCAGAAGACGGUACCUGUCGAAUAAGCCACGGCUAACUACGUGCCAGCAGCCGGGGUAAUACGUAGGUGGCAAGCGUUGUCCGGAUUUACGGGGGGUAAAGGGCGUGUAGGCGGGCUGACAAGUCAGAUGUGAAAUCCGGGGGCUCAACCCCCGAACUGCAUUUGAAACUGUUGGUCUUGAGUAUCGGAGAGGCAGGCGGAAUUCCUAGUGUAGCGGUGAAAUGCGUAGAUAUUAGGAGGAACACCAGUGGCGAAGGCGGCCUGCUGGACGACAACGGACGGUGAGGCGCGAAAGCGUGGGGAGCAAACAGGAUUAGAUACCCUGGUAGUC